AGAGUUUGAUCCUGGCUCAGGACGAACGCUGGCGGCGUGCCUAAUACAUGCAAGUCGAACGCUUCUUUCCUCCCGAGUGCUUGCUCCACCGGAAAAAGAAGAGUGGCGAACGGGUGAGUAACACGUGGGUAACCUACCCAUCAGAGGGGGAUAACACUUGGAAACAGGUGCUAAUACCGCAUAACAGUUUAUGCCGCAUGGCAUAAGAGUGAAAGGCGCUUUCGGGUGUCGCUGAUGGAUGGACCCGCGGUGCAUUAGCUAGUUGGUGAGGUAACGGCUCACCAAGGCCACGAUGCAUAGCCGACCUGAGAGGGUGAUCGGCCACACUGGGACUGAGACACGGCCCAGACUCUACGGGAGGCAGCAGUAGGGAAUCUUCGGCAAUGGACGAAAGUCUGACCGAGCAACGCCGCGUGAGUGAAGAAGGUUUUCGGAUCGUAAAACUCUGUUGUUAGAGAAGAACAAGGACGUUAGUAACUGAACGUCCCCUGACGGUAUCUAACCAGAAAGCCACGGCUAACUACGUGCCAGCAGCCGCGGUAAUACGUAGGUGGCAAGCGUUGUCCGGAUUUAUUGGGCGUAAAGCGAGCGCAGGCGGUUUCUUAAGUCUGAUGUGAAAGCCCCCGGCUCAACCGGGGAGGGUCAUUGGAAACUGGGAGACUUGAGUGCAGAAGAGGAGAGUGGAAUUCCAUGUGUAGCGGUGAAAUGCGUAGAUAUAUGGAGGAACACCAGUGGCGAAGGCGGCUCUCUGGUCUGUAACUGACGCUGAGGCUCGAAAGCGUGGGGAGCAAACAGGAUUAGAUACCCUGGUAGUCCACGCCGUAAACGAUGAGUGCUAAGUGUUGGAGGGUUUCCGCCCUUCAGUGCUGCAGCAAACGCAUUAAGCACUCCGCCUGGGGAGUACGACCGCAAGGUUGAAACUCAAAGGAAUUGACGGGGGCCCGACAAGCGGUGGAGCAUGUGUUUAAUUCGAAGCAACGCGAAGAACCUUACCAGGUCUUGACAUCCUUUGACCACUCUAGAGAUAGAGCUUUCCCUUCGGGGACAAAGUGACAGUGGUGCAUGGUUGUCGUCAGCUCGUGUCGUGAGAUGUUGGGUUAAGUCCGCAACGAGCGCAACCCUUAUUGUUAGUUGCCAUCAUUUAGUUGGGCACUCUAGCGAGACUGCCGGUGACAAACCGGAGGAAGGUGGGGAUGACGUCAAAUCAUCAUGCCCCUUAUGACCUGGGCUACACACGUGCUACAAUGGGAAGUACAACGAGUCGCUAGACCGCGAGGUCAUGCAAAUCUCUUAAAGCUUCUCUCAGUUCGGAUUGCAGGCUGCAACUCGCCUGCAUGAAGCCGGAAUCGCUAGUAAUCGCGGAUCAGCACGCCGCGGUGAAUACGUUCCCGGGCCUUGUACACACCGCCCGUCACACCACGAGAGUUUGUAACACCCGAAGUCGGUGAGGUAACCUUUUUGGAGCCAGCCGCCUAAGGUGGGAUAGAUGAUUUGGGUGAAGUCGUAACAAGGUAAC
rnacentral:rRNA from 1 species